GGGGUAAAAUUAAUUAUUCAUAAAUAAUAAAAAAAUUUUUAAAUUUAAUAUUUAAUUGGGGGAUUAAAGUAUUUAUAAAGAAAAAAUUUUUAAUUUUAUAGUGAAUUAGUAUUGUAAAAGAAUUUUGAAAUAAUUGAAAUAAUAAUUAUAUUAAAAGUAAAUUUAAUUUAUUGUAUCUUGUGUAUCAGAGUUUAUUAAAAAUUUUUAAUAUAAUAAUAAUUUCUCGAAUUUAAAAGAGUUAAUUAAUUAAAAAAGUUAACGUAUUAAAGUUAUUUUUAAUAAUUAAUUUGAAAUGAAAUGUUAUUCGUUUUUAAAUAUAUCUAGUUUUUUUAGAAAAAAAUUUAAUUUUAAAUUUCAUAAAUAAUAAGCUAAUUAAUUAGCUUAUUAUUUAUGAAAUUUUAUAUUUUAAGGGAUAAGCUUUAAAUUAAAAAAUUAUAAUAAAUAAAAAUUUAGUUAUUGAAAAUUUUAUGAUUUAUAUUGUUAAUAAAUUUUAAUUUAUUAUAAAUAAUUUCAUUAAAAUUAAAAUUUAUUAAAAAUUUAAUUUUUUAUAAAAAAAUAUUUUUUAACAAUAAAAAAUUAGUUAUAAUGAUAAAAUUAGUAUAUUUAUUAAUAUUUAUUUUUUUUUUAUUAUUUAAAUUAAUUAAUAUAAAGGAAUUCGGCAAAUGUAUAUAUUCACUUGUUUAACAAAAACAUGUCUUUUUGAAUUUAAUUUAAAGUCUAAUCUGCCCACUGAUUUAAUUAUUAAAGGGCUGCAGUAUAUUGACUGUACAAAGGUAGCAUAAUCAUUAGUCAUUUAAUUGAUGACUUGUAUGAAAGAUUGAAUGAAAUAUAAACUGUCUCUUUAUUAAUUUAUAGAAUUUAAUUUUUUAUUUAAAAAGUUAAAAUGUUUUAAAAAGACGAGAAGACCCUAUAGAGUUUGAUAAUUAUUUAUAUUUAAAAUUAUUUAUAAAUUAAAAAUUAAAAUAAAAAUGAUUAUUUUAUUGGGGUGAUAGAAAAAUAAAAAAAACUUUUUUUAUGAAAAAUCAUAUAUAAGUGAAUUAAUGAUCCAAUUUUAUUGAUUAUAAGAAAAAAUUACCUUAGGGAUAACAGCGUAAUUUUUUUUUUUAGUACAAAUAAGAAAAAAAGUUUGCGACCUCGAUGUUGGAUUAAGAUAAAAUUUAAAUGCAAAAGUUUAAAAUUUUGAUCUGUUCGAUCAUUAAAAUCUUACAUGAUCUGAGUUCAAACCGGUGUGAGCCAGGUUGGUUUCUAUCUUUUAAUAGUGAUAAAUAUUUUAGUACGAAAGGAUCAAAUAUUUAAAUUAAAUUUAUAUAAAAGAAUAUUAUUAAUAUGUAAAUUAUAUAUUUGAAAUUAAUUUUAAAUUAUAUAUAUAUAUAUAUAUAUAUAUAUAUAUAUAU
rnacentral:rRNA from 1 species